AUCUCCUUGAUUGCACGGUCAACCCCGCUCCUGUCUGUCAGGCUCAGGAACCACUUACAAGCUAUGGCAGGUGAUGUUCCAGCAUCCCACAGGGAGGAUUAUGCUGGUGAGCCACAUGGCCAAGCAGGACUAUGGCUUCAACAGCUCUGGGGCCUGCAUGUUCCUGCAUUAGCCCUACUCCAGCAAUGAGGCUGAAGUUACCAGAGUGACAUCAUGGUAUCUGGUGCAAGCUAUAGCAUCCACCUAUUCUUGGAGCACACGUGGUCAGACACUGAUUGGCAUGUGACCAAGUUGAUGGUGGUCAAAACAGAACUCCUUUCAUGCCCACAAGCUUCAGUAUUACUAUGUUCCCUGCCACUUCCGUUGAAGUUUUGCAGGAUUGGGAUGAUCCUUUGGUGUGAACGAAGCCCCAAAGAGGACCACGUGGAGAGUGCCUGACUGUUCCUGUGAUGUCUUCUAGUACAUGAACAGGAAUGAAACCCACUAUGUCCUCCAUGUGAACUACAUGCUGAGCGUGGGUCCAGAUGGGAAACCAUUCUCCUACCCUGCAGAAAUGGUAUAUAGUUUCAAGGAUGUGGGACUUCCCCAGGCCAUUGGCACCUGUGACAGUGAGAACCUAUACUUGGCCACCCCAGUAACUGACCUGCUCUCCUGUUGGAGCUCUACAUGGGACACCAGCUCCCAUGCAUUUAUCCCUUUUCAGACCUCACUGGUGUAUCUGUACCACCUGACCCAAUCCUGCCUACACUUGGACCCUGACGGGCAUUGUGGUGGCCAGUACUAUCCAGAGGAGAGAGAAGGAGUGACUCCAGGACUUAUAUGCCCACAAGCCAAAAGAAGAUCAAGAUCUGAGUGGGAACUGUGGAAAGCAUGUCAUGCGAGCCCCUGCCGCCCUUGAAACUCUGCGUUCCUCCUCCUCAAAGAACAGUGCCUGAAGGUCCUGGCUGUGGCCCUGGCUGGCCAUCUUGCUUCCUGGUCACGGUGGUGGCC
rnacentral:lncRNA from 1 species